UUUCAAACGUCACUUUCUUCUUUAUUCACGAUGUUUCGCAGCGCCUACACUAUGCUUCCUUUCAAACAUCUCCUCUUCUUCUUUAUUUAUAGUAGCUACCCAGUUGCACUCAAACACUCCAAAACACUCGAUGGCGUCGAUGACGAAGUUAUUUUUGUUGGGUGUUAUUCCCCUCUUUCUUCUCCGCUUCUGCUGCGGAUGUAUCCACAGGGAAAGGGAAGCUCUUCUUCACAUUAGAGCACUUCUUCACAUUAAAAAUAACUCUCAUCCCUCUUAUUUUUAUUCGUGGGAGAAUGGAACAGAUUGUUGCGACUGGAACGGCAUAUCCUGCAGUAACACCACGCAUCAUGUAGUCAGUGUUGUUCUGACUACAUACCGUACCCGCGUUUUCAAAUCCGUACCCGGGUUUUCAAAUCCGUACCCGCGUUUGGUGGAAGGAGGCAUCAUAUGGCCGAGCUUGUGCACCCUCACUUUUCUUGAAACCAUAGACCUCUCUUGGAAUGGAAUAUCAGGUACUCUUCCUCCCUGCUUGGAAAACCUCUCUUCUCUCACAUACCUGGAUUUAAGUGGUAAUAGUUUGAGUGGGAAAAUUCCAAGCAUGUCUUCUCUCACAUAUCUGGAUUUAUGUUAUAAUAGUUUGAGUGGGAAUAUUCCAUUGUCCUUUGCAAACAUGUCUUCUCUCACACACCUGGGUUUAAGCCGUAAUAUGUUGAGUGGGAACAUUCCAUUGUCCUUUACAAACAUGUCUUCUCUUGACGUCCUUCGGUUAAAUGACAACAGUUUCGGAGGUGAAACUGUCCUUAGUACUAUUUGUAUGCUCAAGAGCCUUGGUGAAGUUGAUAUUAGUAACAACCAACUGAAUCGGAGCUUACCAUCUUGUCUCGGUAGUCUUCCUUCUCUAAGUUAUCUAUUUCUGUCCAACAAUCACUUGAGUGGUAUUAUCCCAGAUUCUUUAGGCAACAUUUCCUCGCUCGUUUGUUUUGAUGUUUCUUAUAAUGCUUUAAGUGGUUCUGUCCCAGAUUCCUUGGGGGCUCUGUUUUCAUUAGAAUACUUGGAUCUGUCUUACAACCAGCUAAAUGGAACUCUUCCCUCCUCAUUUUCAAGGCUCUCCUCCCUUAGUUGGCUGAAAGCUGAGGGGAAUGCAUUUGCUUCCUUAGCACUACCCUCUUCACUUGAAUAUCUCGAUCUCACCUUAGACGGCCAUCAGAUAAUUUCAGAGGCUUUUUUUCACAACCUUAGCAAAUUAGUGGGCCUGUCUCUGUCUGAUUGUGAACUUAAUAUCAGCCCUACUUGGAUUCCAUCAUUCCAAUUAUCCACCUUACAUAUGAAAUCAUGUAAGACGGAUGGUCAAAUCCAGUCGUGGAUUUCGACUCAAUUCUCACUUGAAGAGUUGCAACUAGCUGACAACAAUCUUGUUGGAGAAAUUCCCUCUUGGCUCAUGGAUAUGAGUCAUCUACGGUCAAUCAAUCUCACAGGAAAUUUUCUGGAAGGUCGCCUUUUGCUAAACACUUCAGCUCAGAAAUACUUGGAGGUCUUCGAUGUGUCUCACAAUGCAUUAAGCGGACAACUACCAUCAAUUUGGCUUCCUGGUAUACAAGUAUUGUUACUCAACCACAAUUUCUUGACGGGAAAGAUCCCUCCAACCUUACAGUUUAGCUCUUCGCUAUUUAUGUUAGAUUUGGCAAAUAAUCAGUUGAAUGGAAUGAUCCCUCAAAGCUUGGCCAACUGUUCUCAGCUUCAAAUGUUGAAUUUGGGGGAUAAUGAUUUUGGGGGAAUGAUUCCAUAUGAGUUUGGUGGGCUAAGUAAACUGCAGUCACUAGUGAUAAAGAAUAACCAGUUCAACGGAUCAUUCCCUCCUUCCAUAUCAAACUGCACAGAAUUAUAUUUUCUAGAUGUUGGGCAAAACUUACUGAGAGGACACAUUUUUAAGUCAAUUGGAAACCUUUCGAAGCUCAAAGUCUUGGCAAUGAGGAAGAAUAGUUUUGAAGGUAGCAUUCCUGCUGAAAUUGGGCAGUUGAAGCACCUCCAGAUCUUGGACCUUUCUUCAAAUCACCUAUCAGGAUCUAUACCACGUAGCAUUUUCAAUUUACAAGCAAUGAUGACAGAACCACACCAGGAAUUUAGCAUGAUUCAGUUUCAAUAUGCUGCCCAAGCACCACCGUCAUCUUACACAUAUGAGAAUGGGUUGAAUAUGGAUUCCAAGGGAAGAGAUGAACACUACACAUAUAUUUUCCCCAACAUGGUGUCAAUAGAACUUUCAAACAAUCAACUAAAUGGGGAUCUUCCCUCUGAUUUAGGAAAGUUGAAGGGGUUGAAGUUGCUCAACCUUUCUAUGAAUAAUCUCAAUGGUGUUGUUCCAAAUAGUAUUGUAGAAAUGAUAUGGUUGGAAACAUUAGAUUUAUCUACAAAUAAUUUUUCUGGACCAAUUCCUUCAGAUCUUGGUUCUUUGAGUUAUUUGGGAGCCCUCAACUUUUCCAACAACAACCUUUCUGGUAAUAUACCUCAAGGAGGACACAUGACAACAUUUAAGAAAUCAUCUUAUUUAGAGAAUCCAUAUCUAUGGGGAUGUCCACUACCAAAGAAGUGCAAUUGGCCAGAGUUUGCUCCAGCUCCUCCUCCUGUUUCUACAUCUAUUAAAGAAGAAAAGCAAAGUGAGGAAAGUGUGUGGUAUGGGAUUGGAUUGGGACUGUCAUAUGGAGCAGGUUUUGCAGCAGUGGUUGUAUUUAUUGUAUUAAGAAGAAAGUGGCAACAAAAAUACUUCAAAGGAGUUGAUUUGGUCUUGAAAUUUUGUUUUCCACGGUUCCGCAAUUUGACAUUAUGAAAUUCUAUUUCUUUUGUUGAGAUCUUGGAAUUAUUGUAAGCAAUCUCCACAUACAUUAAUAAUGUUCUAUUUCUUAUUUGGUAUUUUCAAUAGAAUUUAAUUUUGGUGUCCGUAAAAACUACCAUUUUCACUUCAAAUUAUUGAUAGAUCUUAUAUUUUUCAUUUGAAUUAUGUUUUCUAGGAUUGUAUUAAACAUUUUUUUUUUAUGCAUACCUUUAAACAGAAUAUAAUUCAAUAAAUGUAAUGGUGGCAUUGGCAUCAUUUCCUUUUGUCCACAAGUAAUUGUCAUCUAAAUUUAUUUUUUAAGCUUGCUAUUAUCAAAUUUUAAAGCAAUCAAUGAAAAUAUUGUUGACGAAUUGCCUUUGACGUUUUUGGGUAUAGACAAAAAGCUCUAAUGUCAAAUGCAGUUUGAAAGUUUUUAUUUUUCCAUGCAACUAAUAACUAUUCCAAAUCAUUAUUGUUGAUUAUUUCUCUCUUUUUAAUCAAAUGUUUAAAACAUACAUAAUCUAUGUUGAGCAUUUAGAUCAAAAGAGUAACUUAUCUUAUAGUAUUUAUGUUAGAUUUGUGUUUGCAAAGGAUAUCCAAAUGAUCAUACCAAUAUUUCAUAACAAUCUAAUUAAGAAAAUUAACUUGUCACUCAAUUUGCUUCAUUCAACAAGUAUAAAUACAUUGCUUAUAAUUUUAAUUUUAAUUUUGAAUAAUAAAAGAAGAUUAUUACCAUAACCUUAUUAUUAAUAAAGAAAUUCCCUCGUCAAAUUUUGGUCUGAAUAUUUUUUUGCUGUCAAUAAAUUACUUUUGUCCCAUUUUAAUGGGUUAAUAGAAGUUGAAGAGACUGUUGCAACUGAAUCCUUUCUGGAUGGUUUCUUCUUCCUAUCUUUACUGAGACAUCUAUUCUAUGGGUUUUUGGCCUAUAGAUGAGAAAGAGGCUCAAUUUUUUAAUCUUUUAUUGGAUGAAAAGGUGUACUUGCACUCUAAGCUCUCUAGAAUGCACUCCAAAUUUAUUGGCAUGAAAUUACAGCUGAUAAGUCCAAAAGUUUGAGUUCCUUCAAUGAACAACUUUAAUGGUGCAUCAAUGAUCUCAACCAUUAGACGGUGGCAGUCGAGUCCGCAGCGUGGGAAUGAAGGUGUGUCAAGAGGAGCAUUUCAGUCGAUUUGAUUGCCUGAAUGAAUUAUGGGAGCUUGAUGAAUGUUAAUGACAUUAUUUUGUGCAAAAGUUUGACAGAUCUGCUUAAGUCACAAAUAACAUAGUGGGUGAACUUAUAUAAGCAAAUCACUCAGAAACACUUUCUACAUGGAUCGUCGCCAAAGUAUUCCACAAGUGGGCGAUUGCUGUAUACAAUGUCUGUCACAAGUUUUCCAUCUUUUAUCAUUUAGACUUGGGGUUAGAAGGGUGGAAGAAUUAUAUUGCUAGGUCCUGGCCGUUCUUACCCCUGUUUGUUGGUUUCCUUGUUUCGACUGGAUAAUGUUUGAUGCAGGACAUAAUCUACGGCAAAGGCAAAGAAAACAUCCCUUCUAAAUUAUGUUGAGGCUUGCAUUAUGUCUGAUGCUUAUUUAAGGGGCACCCAUGUCACAACUGAGUUUGAGGCCUUGAAUGGGAUAAAAAUGUUCUUUCUAGAUUAAGUCAGGGCUUCUAUGAGGCCUGCAAGAGGAAAUCUACAGUAACGUGGCUAAUCUAGGAAGGGUAGCAGGAUAAAUGAUGCAAGACGAAAACAACUCCAGGUCGCCUUCAAUCUUCAACACUCAAAAUAAUUAACAAACGCAAUAGCAGAGACACUUUGCUUUCUUCAAUUGAAAUGUAGUCUUGAAAAGAUGCCCGUCCUCUGUUCACAGACCGUGAGGAUGCUGAAGGUUGAGCAAUUUGGCUUUACGCCUGCCACAUUGAUUCGCUUGGAAGUAUCUAAAGCCUUUUCGACAUUGAGGCAUUCUGUCAAACAGUUCAGGUGCCUUUCUCUGCUUCCCAAUUUUGCAUACAUAACUACCACAUCAUCUGACAAAAUUUUUUAAAGAUGGAUGCCUAUGCCCUGUUCCAAAGCUCCCUUUCACAAAUUGUAAGAGUACUGGCAAAGGCCGUGGGCAUUGGCUUAACACCUGCCAAUUGCAUAAAUACUUUAAACUUUUGCAAGGUAUCUAUAUAGUAUAUAUCCAUUUUGAUGUAUAUUCUGCAAUCACUGCGUUGAUAUCUCUCUGUAAACAAUUAAGUGCGUUGCCUAUAAUUUCACAUUGUGCAUACAUAUAUACAGAGCAAGGUUCCUUAACAUACUCAGGACCAAGUUCAUAUUUUAAACUUUCCCUUUCACCCUCUUCUGAUAAGCCAAACGAAACUGAAGAAAAUAAACCAAACAAAUGUUUUUGGGCGAUGCAGAUCGCCACUAGACCCGGAUGCUCCUGCAUCAAUAAAUGAGGAGAAUUUCUGAGAAUACAGCUUAUGUUUGAUAUUAGGAAAAUGAAGCAAGGAUGGCUGAAUAAACUGUGAAGGGAAUCAAUGUGAGAAGAUAUUUUUGUUCAGUGCGCAGAAACACAUGCAUGGUAAGUCCAUAGUACGACAGAAAUUUAGAAAAAAAUCUAGGACAAGUUCAUUACUACAAUGUAUAAAGGCUCCAAGUUUUAGUUCAUCUGGCUGUGAUGAAGUUGCAAGUUGGAGCGCUUGCUAACUUGAUAAUCCACGUUUCAAUUUUUUGCUUAUUUACAGUGACAUAGCAUUAUUUGUAAUAAAUGCUAAUGGAAUUAAGUAUCAUCUUUCGAUUCAGAAACGAUUCAUUUAUUCAAAAAGAAAUUUAAGUAUCAAAUUUUGUCUGCCUUCUUGUAUGUUAACAUCUACUUUGUGUUCCAAUUUCAGACCUUAUCUGGGCCUGUUUCUGAUCCAAAAGAUCUCCCAAAGUGGAAUCAUGAUCGAUCUAGUACUGGAGAGGCACUUGAAAAGGACAGUGAAGUCAUUCUACAUCCUCAGGCUGUCUUCAGAGAUCCAUUCCAUAGGGCAAAGAACAUCUUGGUAAGUUGCUAUGCCAUUAAAACAUAGUGAAUUUGGAUGGUCUGCGUCACUUUGUGCACCAUUGAUUGAUGGGGUUGUUUGUGGGUUUCGGGGGAUUUUCGAUAGAUACAAAUUUAGAUGCAAACAGUCUAGAGCGGCUAAGGCCUUAAAAAUGGAUAUUCAAACUGAAUGCCCCCGAAUAUGAACCAUUAAAGUCAACAUAAGAAGCUUUUUAUUGUGUAAUCUAAUUAUGCUCGCUAUUCCUCUGUGAAGAAAGCUCAAAAAUUAGAGCCAGAGCCUUGCUACUCAUGAGCAAGAGAUACACGAAUAAAAAUCAAAAUCACAGUAAAAGGGAAAGGUACAUGAAUAGUUGCUGAGUAUUUGGAAAUUAGUUCUAGUAUUUAAAUAUUGCAUUUAUGCCAUCAUCUUUAUCACAAGGAUUGUAAUUAGGUUUUUAAUAUUUCGAAAGAGAGAUUUUUUUUUAUUUUUUUAUUUUUUUUUAGUGUUUUGCUAAUCAUAAUUUCUCAUUUUGUUUUGAAGUCGUGAUAUGUGUUCUAAUGUGUUUAUGCAGAAUCAAGAACAAACAAAUAAAAGUGCAGUUGAAGUUGCUUACCUCCAUGUACUUCUGAAUCAUUGAGGCCUUCUGACAUCCACCUCCAUUAGAGAUUGGUCUUUGUCUCAUGGAAAUCAUUGAGGAGGCAGCCAAUCUGUUCAUGGCAAUUAGGAUGCUUAGUUCUUACUCUGAAGCCUCUCCACAUCAUGUGAGAAGAGGUUGUGUUUAAGGAGAAUGGUCUUAGUCUACCAAUAACCAUUGUGCUUUUCACCUGGUCUUUGGUGGUGAGACUGCUAUCUGGUCGGAUUUCAGCAAGUUCUCUUGGUUGAUUCUUGAUAUUUCUUUGUUUGAGUUGUUGCUAUUCAAAUAAAUAAGAUAGUAAUAGUGGUUGAGAUCCUCACAAGAAUAUAUCAGACUCCAAUAAUUGGAUGUCCAAGAUCUACCUUUUCCUUCCUUCACUCUUGCUCUCACUGUAUAGCAGCUUGUUGUAAUUGUGAUAUUGUAACCCAUUUGAA